rnacentral:lncRNA from 1 species
AUACCUUCCAUAUGUGCCCCAGGCAAGUAUACAUCAUCCCUUCUCUCACUUGUUCAGCAGUUAUUUAUUGAAUACUUUAUGCCAGGCACUGUUCUAGGAGCUUGGGAUACAUGGAUGAACAAGGCAGACAAGUAUCCCCAUCCGUAUGGAGUUUACAUUCCAGGGGCAGGAGACAGGUCAGUAAAUUAUACUUUUGUUAGAGAGUGGUAAGUGCUAUGGAGGAAAGGAAAGUUGUUUCUGGAGAUGCAGGGUUGGGGGCAGGUUGUAGUCUUUGAUAGGGUGUUGGGAUGGGCCUCAUUGACAAGGUGAGAUUUGAGCAUAGGCCUGAAGGAGGGGAGGAAGUUCACCAAGCCCACAACCGGGCAGAAAUCACAGCCAGAGCAGAGGUCCCAUGGUGGGAAUGUGUCCGGCCUGGUUGACGAACCACAAGGAGGCCAGCAUUGCUGGGGUGGAGCGACUGAGAGGAAAAGGGAGAGGGAGGGACAGACGGGAGGUCACGAGGUGUGCAGCCAGAUCCUGCAGCCACCCACUGGACUUUGGCUUUAUGCCGAGUGAAGCCGGGAGCCGUGGGAAGGCUCUGAGCAGAGGAGUCGCCUCCUGACUCUUGCUGUGAAAGGGUGGCUAGGGCUGCUGCGUGGGGGAUCUGUACAAGAUGGGCAGAUCAUCCCCGUGCCUCAUGGGCUGCUGUGAAGGUCACGGGGGGACACUGGACAAGGAAAUGCUUAGAAACAAAAGGCCCUGACUGUGGUUACAGGGCUUCCAGGAGAGAGAGCUGAGUGGCUCUGCUCACAACCGUCUUAUUGAAGGGUCAGUGGAGCUCAGGAGAGGGUUAUAAUUUGCCCAGGGUCAUAUGUUCUACAACCAAUUCAAGAUCGGGGACUUCCCACUCUUCUCCCAGGGCAAAUACCAUCUGGCAGGUGGCUAAGUAGUGCAGCCUUUGGACCUGUGAUGGCUGUAGUGCGGCUGACGGGGACUGAGUCCUCCCUUGAAAAUCCAUUCACUCCACAAAUAUUUGUUAAGUGCCGGUUAUGGGCCAGGCACUGAUCUGGACUAGAAGCUGGGACCUAGAGAUAUUGGGAGACACCUGGCAAGGGCUAAGUCCUGGUCUCUGGUGGGGCUGGUUUCUGGUGGGGCUGGUCUCUGGUGGGGUUGGUCUGUCUCUGGUGGGUUUGGUCUGUCUCUGGUGGGGUUGGUCUCGUCUGGUGGGGUUUGGUCUCUGGUGGGGCUGGUCUCUGGUGUGGUUGGUCUCUGGUGGGGUUGGUCUGUCUCUGGUGGGGUUGGUCUGUCUCUGGUGGGGUUGGUCUCUGGUGGGGUUUGGUCUCUGGUGGGGUUGGUCUGUCUCGGGGCUGGUCUCUGGUGGGGGCUGGUCUCUGGUGGGGUUGGUCUGUCUCUGGUGGGGUUGGUCUCUGGUGGGGUUUGGUCUCUGGUGGGGCUGGUCUCUGGUGGGGUUGGUCUCUGGUGGGGUUGAUCUCUGGAGGAGUUGGUCUCUGGUGGGGCUCAGUCGGUCUGUGCAGGAGUCAAGUGUUAGAGGCCACACUACUGAAGGCUGGUGUUGGACUUAGGGUCAAGAGUCCAUCUGGGGCUGGGGUCAGGUCACAGCUGGAGUCAGGCAGCCCAGUCAAGAGGCUGUGGAAAGUCAAGCUGGAGAGGCAAGGCCUGCUGGGGGCUGUGGAGGUCAGGAGAAGGCCACACACCACGGGCCAGACUGUGUAUGGUAGGGGUGGGACCAAGGUGCCACUGAGCUUUUACGUUUAGGUGGCAAAGAAGAUGAUGUCAUUCAUAAAAGCAGGAAGGCAUUAGUUCAUUUGAGGAACAGAAAGAGUGCAGUGCAUCUGAUGAGCGGGGAGAGGCGUUUCAGAUGAAGAGACAGGCUGGGACCAGGUCAUGUAGCCUGGUAGUCUCUUGGGGAAUUAUUCCAAGAACAAUGGGAAGCCCUCAGAGGGCCAGGCAGGAGGUUCUGGGUCUGGUUUGUCUUUGAAAAUUAUGCGUAGCACACAGAUUUAAGGGGGCCGGAGGCCAGGCAUGGUGGCUCACGCCUGUAAUCCCAGCACUUUGGGAGGCGGAGGAGGGCAGAUCAUGAGGUCGGGAGUUCGAGACCAGCCUGGCCAACAUGGUGAAACCCCAUCUCUACUAAAAAUACAAAAAUUAGCCCGGCAUGGUGGUGCACAUCUGUAAUCCCAGCUACUUGGGAGGCUGACGCAGGAGAAUUGCUUGAACCCAUGAGGCGGAGGUUGCGGUGAGCAGAGACCACGCCAUUGCACUCCAGGCUGGGUGACAAGAGCAAGACUCCCUCUCAAAAAAAAAAAGCAGGGAGGGUGGCUGGGGGGCAGGAAUGGGACCAGGAGACCAGUGACGGGCCAAAGUAGUUUAGAGAUGGUGGUGACUUUGAGUGGUGGUGGAGAAGAAGAAGGGGGCAGAUUCCAUAGCUGUCUUGAAGGCAGAAGUGUCAGGAUUUGCCGUGGGAGGAAGGGAGAAGGAGGUGAAGGUAGUGCCCAGGCUUGGGGCUGCGCAAGGCAUGGUGCUGGCCUCCACUGAGAUGGGGAGAUGGAGAACACCUUCUGGAGUAGGUAGAAACCAGUUUUGUUCUGGCUGUCUUCUGCUGUGGCACUCAUCUGUAGCCACCAAGUAGGUGGCUGAGGAUGCACACUGAAACUUCCUAAAGAGAGAAACGAACAUGUACCUUUGUGGGUUAUCAACGUGCCCCCAUACUUAAGAGUGUGGGGCCGGGCGUGGUGGCUCACGCCUGUAAUCCCAGCACUUUGGGAGGCCGUGGCGGGUGGAUCACGAGGUCAGGAGAUGGAGACCAUCCUGGCUAACAUGGUGAAACCCCGUCUUUACUAAAAAAUACAAAAAAUUAGCCAGGCAUGGCGGCACGAGCCUGUAGUCCCAGCUAGUCGGGAGGCUGAGGCAGGAGAAUGGCGUGAACCCGGGAGGCGGAGCUUACAGUGAGCCGAGAUCGCACCACUGCACUCCAGCCUGGGCAACAGAGCCAGACUCCGUCUCAAAAAAAAAAAAAAAAAAAAAAAGAGUGUGGAUGGAGGAGCAGCUCUGAUCAGUGAGGAGGAGGGGCAGGGAGGUGGAAGGAAACCUGGGAGAGGGGCCACCAUAGUCCCAGGAAAGACUUGAAGGACGGUGUGGUCAGCUGUGUCGGAUACCGCUGAGAGGACCAGUCAGACAAGCGCAGAGGAAAGCCCGGUGGACUUGGGCACGUGAGGUCGCCGGCGAAGCUGACAAGAGCAGGCUUGUGAACUGCUUGAGGAUGGGUGGAGCAGCACUGGGAGCAGCGGCAGGAGGUGAGGCAGUGGCUGGACAAGAUGCAGCCCCGGGUGCGAGCAUGCUUGUCCGCAGAGGGAGUGACUCCGUGGGGAGGGAGAGCCAAUGAUGCUGACGAGGGGAGGCAGCAAAGGAGGGGUCCAGGCCGGGUACGGUGGCUCAUGCUUGUAAUGCCAGCACUAUGGGAGGCCGAGGCAGGAGAAUCACUGGAGCCCAGGAGUUCGAGACCAGCCUAGGUAACAUAGGGAAACCCUGUGUCAAUCAGUCAAUCAGUGAGUGGUCCUGCACAGCCCAGGCUCUCUGAUUAAUGCUGCCACCACAGUUCCCAUCCGCUGGGUUUGAAGGGAAAGUGAAACUUCCAAAUCCCACAAAGGCCCUGGCUCCUGAGCCUCACCUCUUUGAUUGAGUGUAAAUUAUUCCCACUUGGCUUCUCAUUUUAUUGUCACAACAAGCCCUGUGAGUUUCAGGGGAUUAAAUGAGCUGCAUAAGCACCAGCUGAGUGCUAGUAAGUGGCAAAGCCACGAUUUGAAGCCAGGUCUGAGCUGUCUCCAGAGCACUUCCUCUCAAUCCCCAUGUCAUACUGCUUCCCGCAGGCUUCUUACUUCGAGCAGUCUUAGGAUCAGGUCACCUGCAAUCUCUGUUCCCAAGGGGAUGGAUUAGGCAGGCAGAUGGGAUUCCUUCCCAAUCAUUGUUUCUUAUGGGCAAUUCCUACCUCUAGUACUUUCGAGACAAACUUAAUAUCAGUCCUCCAGGCUUCCUUCCUACCCAGGAAUGAUGCUUUUUGAGCGUUUCCUCACAUGCCUGACGGUCUACUUACAUGCCGCCAGAGACAGAAAGCUCACUAUCUCCAUGAGUAACCCAUUCUAGGCAGUAGGCUUUGCAUGACAGCUUAGAGUCUAUGCUCUUAAGUUGCUUUGGCUGAAUCUCAGUUCUGCUGCCUACUAGCAUCCUGUGCUUCAGUUUCCUCACCUGUAAAAUGGUAAUAACAGCCUGGCACAGUGGUCCAUCCCUC